rnacentral:rRNA from 1 species
UAGGGAAUUUUCCACAAUGGACGAAAGUCUGAUGGAGCAACGCCGCGUGUGCGAAGAAGGUUUUCGGAUUGUAAAGCACUGUUGUAAGGGAAGAAUAAGGUAAACAGGAAAUGGUUUAUUGAUGACGGUACCUUACCAGAAAGCCACGGCUAACUACGUGCCAGCAGCCGCGGUAAUACGUAGGUGGCAAGCGUUGUCCGGAAUUAUUGGGCGUAAAGGGCGUGUAGGCGGGAUAAUAAGUCUGAUGGG